UUAAUGUUUAUCUUUUUAUUUUAGUAAUAUAUUAUUUAGUUGAAUUUGAGGAUGGAUUGGCAGUGGUGCCUGAUUGCUGGUUGUUACAAGAAUCAGCUACAUAUUAUUGGCCUCAGGGAAUUGGUGCUAAACAAUGGUCAAAAAUGAGAAAGUUACCAAUUCCUAAUCACAAAGAUUGGCCUCUUUAUUCUUAUAUAAAAAUAUUGAAAAUUGGAGGAGUCCUGACAUUUCAAUUAAGAAAAGAAAACAAAAGAAAAUUCGAAAAUUAAGAAAAAGAAAAACUCACCAAUCAAUCCAUCAGAAAAUUCUAAUUCUGACUCUUCAGAUAGGGAACAUUUGGUACCAAUUCUUCCCCUACCCCCAUGUAGACAGUCAACUUCAACCACUUUUACAGAUCGAGUUGAUAAACCUUCACCAGCUAGUUCUAGCACAAACAUCCCAUCUUCAAUUCUUCCUGAUUUAGUAAACAAGCUGUGGCUGAUGUUGUUCGACCAUAUUUUCAUAGUGUUAUUAAACAGUUGGAGGAAAUUAAGUCAGAGUUAGGUGUGCAGCGCCAAAAGCAAGUUUCUAAUAAUCAUAAUACAAGUGGAAAUCUUUCAAAAAACUUUAUUUCCAUUAAAAGAAAUUGAUGAACUCUUACAGUUAAAUAGCAUUUUUCUGGAAAAUACUGAAUGUCGAUCAAAUGCAGUUAUUUUUUUGUCUCUAAUUGAAGGAAAUGGUCUUGAUGACUGUUUGAGAAAAGUUGCUAAGAAAAUCUUGACAGCAAAACUCUCAAUGCUUUAUAACUUUACAGGAAGAAAAGGAUGCAGUAAGAAAAAAUUAUCCUACAUCGACAGCUAGUCAACUGGACAAAAUACUUUCCAAAUGGCUGUGAGGGUCUAUUAAAUGAGACGGACUAAAAAAAGCUUGAGACGAUGGUCGAAAAAGUUGCUAAUAAAGUUUAUAAAAGUCUACAAAGUUUUUACAAAAUGGCUUUUUUUUAUCUGUUUUUAAUCUUACU